AGAUCUGGCUGAAGCAGAUCUAAGAUGAUUUAGCAUCCUUGUGCUUACAAGGAGCAAAUUGAAGACAUAGCUUAUUUGGCUUUUACGUGUUUACAAUGAAGCAAAUCUAAGAUGAUUUGGCAUCUCUGUAUUGUCAGAGUGUAGCACGCCAAAACCGGCCCAGAAGUUAUGGCCGGAUCCGGCAUGCCACAUCAAAAAUGUUAAAAAAAAUAUUCCAUUCUAAGUCCAGAAAAUCUUACUUGAUGUUCAAAAGAUUAAUUCAUUAAGUAUUAAAGUGAAUGGAAGCUGUGCACCAGGUAGGAAACCGGAAAAGAGGUGGUGAGUCCAUCGGACUGCUUAAGCACCAAGCUCCCUUCGGAUCCAAUCCUAGACAUGCAUACCGCCAUUGCCAGACCUUAACGUCAUGGAUAUUUCUAGGAAACCGAUUAGAUUAAGUCAUUUUUAGGAAAAGUGAUUAAUUUUGGAAAAUACUUUCAUUGCAGAAGCUUUGCUUGUUGUCGUGUUAUUUUGAAAUCAACUGUUGUUUUUGAAAACGCGCCCUAAAGCUAUCCAAUUUCAACAGUUAAAAUAAGUAUUACCUAAUACAUAUUAAAACCAUCAAAAAUAAUUAAGCGGCCUUAUUACAUUUAAAAACCCAAAACUUCAAACGUAAAUAAAGGGAUGUCCAGUUCACCAGAAGAAAAUCAAACUUUCAAAACGGGUGGCCACUCCGAAUUCCCUCACAGCUCCAAGCCCACUAUGGUUGGGGAUUUCCUGCGUGGAUGAAAAUAAAAGGGGUGAGUUUGGGGAAACUCAGUGUGUAAGGAAAACCUAUUCAAAGCCCAAGUCAGCUCAAGCCUAUUGGGCCUAAGCCCAUUCAGGUAACAGUGGUACUGGGCCAGAGCCCUUUUCAGAUUACAAUAAACUGGGCCUUAGCCCCUUAUUCAUAUAACAGUAUAGCCCAUAGGCCCAUUUCAAAAUACAUGCAACAUCAGUAAAUAUAUGCAAGCCCAUUUGGGGAGACUACUCAACCCACCAACCACUACACUCCACCCGUACCAGCCAUACACUCCAUGUGGGGAUAGCUCAACCCACCCAGCCCAACACUCCACAGUUGUAGCCUUGCUGCUCAGUUAACAGUAAAUUGAGGCAAAGCCUCCAGUACGUGGACAAGCCACUUUCAGUACUUCCUCCGUCAAUAUCCCAAUCCCAUGCAUCAGAUAAUAACAACAUGCCAUGCAGUAAAUAACAACAGUCAAACAUGCAUUUAGGUCAAUUUAACCCUAGGGGUAUUUCGAUAAUUUAUCUCCUAGGGAUAAAAUUGUAAAUUUUCCACUUUUAAAGGUAUUUCAGUAAUUUAUCUAUUUUAGGGUUUUUCAUGCAUAUUCCUACUUUUCACGUACUAACAGAAUCACGUACCGAGAGUUCUUACCGAAUUGGGCCUGUUGGCCCAUCAUUUCAAUUUUGGCCCAUUAAGCCCAAAAAUAUCGAGGGCUCAGAAAUCAUGCACUUUGCAGUCCAAAUUUUACAGCUUACCAAAAACAUUAAUCGAUUUACCUCACGAGCAUUCACACACUCGCAAAUUUACAAAAUACCAGUUUUCGGCAUUUCAGCUUUUCGACUUUUGCCGAUCCAGACUAAGAAAGAGGGUGUUAGUUACAUACCUGUUUGCGACGAUAUGCUGACGAGAUCCACACACGAACUGCCUACAAUUGGAUUACUAACACAUUAAUCUAACUGUUCAAAUACGAACUACCCAUUAACCCCUUACAAUAUUCGGCCAACCACACCUACAAAUCAUAGUAAGCUUAUAAGAAAACAAUAAGCAACUCAUUAACAAAUUUUUGGCAAUGUUUACCACAUAAUCAUAAUUUCACUGCAAGCUGUCUUCCUGAGCAACAGUCACUAAAUUAUUUAUAACUGGAGCUACGAAACUCCAAAUCAAGUUCCGUUAAUUUUCCUUGAAAAUAGACUCAUAUAUAUUCUAUCCAUAAAAUUUUCAGAAUUUUUGGUUUAUCCAAUCAAUACCAGAUUUUUCUUAACGUUUCCCAUGUUUCACUGUUUGACUAAUCUGACCACUCUUCAUUACAAAUCAAAUUUCUCAUUGUACAGAAUUCAAAAUAUGUUCUAGUUUAUUUCAUUUGAAACUAAACUCAUUAAGCUUUAAUUACAUUAUUUAUUCAGCUUCUAAUUCAUCUCCCACAAUUUAUGGUGAUUUUCCAAAGUCACGUUACUGCUGCUGUCCCAAGCAGAUUUAUUACCAAAUCACUCUUUCAUACACCUAUCUUGCAUGCAUGUUAUUUAAACAUGUAUAUCACCAAUCAAUCAUCACAUAUCUAUGAUUUUUACUUAAGCAUAAUCUCCAUUUCAUCAUUUUAAAGCACAACAUGUUAGCCGAUUUUUCCCUUUAGCAUCUAAGGCACAUACAUGCUCAUUUGUUUGGCUCAACUUCACAUAUCUUCCAUUUUUCAUCAAAAGAACAUGAAACAACAACCAUUUCCUUCAUUUUAAUUCAUGACCAAAUGCUCACAACACAACCAAAAAUCAAAAUAUACUUCAAGAGUUAAGGUAGAAUCAAGAAGAACUCAUGAACCUCAAAAUAAAAGCAAGAUACCAAGAACUUACCUUCAAUUUUCCUCCUCCUAAUGACCGAAUACUCAAGAGCUUUCUCCUCUCCUUUCUCUUCUCUAACUUUCAGCUAUGAUGAACAAAGAUGGACAAAACUUUGUUCUUUUCACCCCUUUUUCUUUUAAUAAAACUUCAUAUUUCAUCCAUUUAAUUCUUUAAUACAAAAGAUAUGAAAUUCUUAUCAUGAAACAUUUACCUAACCGAUUAUCAUGAAACAUUUACCUAACCCAUUAUCAUGGAACAUUUACCUAACCU
rnacentral:lncRNA from 1 species